UCGAACAUCGUGGUUGGGCGAAUGGCGG
rnacentral:sRNA from 1 species